GUGAUAACACAUUGGAAAUUCAACUAACUUUUGAAUGUAUUUUUGAGUGGGUGAAUAUAGGUUGUAAAUUCAUUGGUCAACGUCUCAACCAAAUAUGACCCAAUUAUCCAAGUUGAAAUGACGUAGCGUGGCCUCCAGUGGCAAACAGUUAUCAGGAGAUAAUCACACAAAUUUGUUUAGUCCCCAGGUUCAGAACAAAGGCUGGGAAACGCACAGUAUUAAAUAGAGCCAUGACUACAUGAAACUCUCUGCCACCCCAGGUAACCAUUGAGAAUGAGACCCUGGUCUCAAUUGGGCUCCCCUGAAUAAAGAAAAGUGUAUUACUCCUACUGGUGGCACAAUGUUGUCCUAACGGGCUUUUCAAGGUCAGGAGUUCCAAAUGUAAAGAAUAGGAACGAAUGUGGGUGAGCCUCUGUAGAUGUGUUUCAAAAACCGACAAAUCCUUCAGUUGUGUUCAGCCUCCACACUCUUAUUCCCCAGAGAACGUCCUUGUGAGCGUCAUAGAACUAUUCCCUAUUGUUAUCGAUCAGUAUAUAUAAUCUGCAUUACUCUGUUGAGCACCUUAGUGAUUCACCUGCUCAGUAGUGGUUUAACAAUACAGUGAACAGAGUGCAUGUGUCACGUCCUGACCAUAGAAAUAUGUUAUUUUCUAUGGUAGAGUAGGUUAGGGCGUGACAGGGGGGGGUUCUAGGUUUUCUAUUUCUAUGUUGUCAG
rnacentral:lncRNA from 1 species